rnacentral:rRNA from 1 species
UACGAAGGGGGCUAGCGUUGUUCGGAAUUAUUGGGCGUAAAGAGCUCGUAGGCGGCUUGUCACGUCGGGUGUGAAAGCCCGGGGCUUAACCCCGGGUCUGCAUUCGAUACGGGCAGGCUAGAGUGUGGUAGGGGAGAUCGGAAUUCCUGGUGUAGCGGUGAAAUGCGCAGAUAUCAGGAGGAACACCGGUGGCGAAGGCGGAUCUCUGGGCCAUUACUGACGCUGAGGAGCGAAAGCGUGGGGAGCGAACAGG